UACUAAGCGGAGGAAAAGAAACUAACUAGGAUUCCCUCAGUAGCGGCGAGCGAACAGGGAAAAGCCCAGCACCGAAUCGCGCGGCAGGGAACUGUCGUUGCGAAAUGUGGUGUUUGGAAGGAUCCGUCAUCCCGAGAGCACGCGACGCGUCCAAGUCCAUCUUGAACGGGGCCAUCGCCCAUAGAGGGUGCCAGGCCCGUAGUGACCGUCGCCGCUAGCGGGAGGAUCUCUUCUGAGAGUCGGGUUGCUUGAGAGUGCAGCCCUAAGUGGGUGGUAAACUCCAUCUAAGGCUAAAUAUGACCACGAGACCGAUAGCGAACAAGUACCGUGAGGGAAAGUUGAAAAGAACUUUGAAGAGAGAGUUCAAUAGUACGUGAAACCGUUCAGGGGUAAACCUGAGAAACCCGAAAGGUCGAAAGGGGAGAUUCAUUCGCGACUCGGCAGGCGGCUACGGACGGUCGCGCGACGAACGGCGUUCGCGCCGUUCGCUCCUUCUGUCCGAAGAUCCGUCGUCGAACGCGUGCACUUCUCCCCUAGUAGGACGUCGCGAUCCGUUGGGUGCCGGUCUAAGGCCCGCGGUGGAGCCCUCUAGCGUGGUUUGCGCCACCGCUCGAGGACCCGCGGUGCGUCCCGACCGGCUCGCCCGACGGUCUAAUGAAGGCGCGGGGCCGCGAAUUAACUUCGCGUCCGGCGCGCGGCAAGCUCGCCUGAUCGGUCCGACUUUCGGACCUAGUGCCGAUCCGGACCGCUGGCGGCUGUGGCCGCGCAGAUCUCGGACAGACCUCGACGUAACGCCGAUCUGCGACGCUAUAGCUUUGGGUACUUUCAGGACCCGUCUUGAAACACGGACCAAGGAGUCUAGCAUGUGCGCGAGUCUUUGGGACACCACUAAACCUAAAGGCGUAAUGAAAGUGAAGGUCAGCCUCGUGCAGGCCUAGGGAAGACGGGCGAUCCUUUCUGGUUCGCCCUGCACUCCCGGGGCGUCUCGUUCUCAUCGCGAGAAGAGGCGCACCAAGAGCGUACACGCUGGGACCCGAAAGAUGGUGAACUAUGCCUGGUCAGGACGAAGUCAGGGGAAACCCUGAUGGAGGUCCGUAGCGAUUCUGACGUGCAAAUCGAUCGUCGGAACUGGGUAUAGGGGCGAAAGACCAAUCGAACUAUCUAGUAGCUGGUUCCCUCCGAAGUUUCCCUCAGGAUAGCUGGCGCUCGUAGCGUACGAGUCUCAUCCGGUAAAGCGAAUGAUUAGAGGCAUUGGGGUCGAAACGACCUCAACCUAUUCUCAAACUUUAAAUGGGUGAGAUCUCCGGCUUGCUCGAACUUGAAGCCGCGAGAAUAUCGGAUCAGAGUGCCAAGUGGGCCAUUUUUGGUAAGCAGAACUGGCGCUGUGGGAUGAACCAAACGCCGAGUUAAAGCGCCUAAACCGACGCUUAUGGGAUACCAUGAAAGGCGUUGGUAACUUAAGACAGCAGGACGGUGGCCAUGGAAGUCGGAAUCCGCCAAGGAGUGUGUAACAACUCACCUGCCGAAGUUACUAGCCCUGAAAAUGGAUGGCGCUGAAGCGUCGUGCUUAUACUCGGCCGUCAGCGGCAUGUGCGAUCGCUCUUCGGCGCGGUCAUGAAGCCCUGACGAGUAGGAGGGUCGCGGCGGUGUGCGCAGAAGGGCUGGCCGUGAGGCCGUCUGGAGCCGCCGUCGGUGCAGAUCUUGGUGGUAGUAGCAAAUACUCCAGCGAGGACCUGGAGGACUGACGUGGAGAAGGGUUUCGUGUGAACAGCCGUUGCACACGAGUCAGUCGAUCCUAAGCCCUAGGCGAAAGCCGAUGUUGAUGAGGUGACGGUUAUAAGUUGUGUAAUGCCUCCGAGCAUACCACGCACCCAUCGGGCGAAAGGGAAUCCGGUUCCUAUUCCGGAACCCGGCAGCGGAACCGUCCAUAAAUCGGGCCCUCGCAAGAGAGUUCGUCGGGGCAACCCAACAUGACCCGGAGACGCCGUCGGGAGAUCCGGGAAGAGUUUUCUUUUCUGCAUGAGCGUUCGAGUUCCAUGGAAUCCUCUAGCAGGGAGAUAUGGUUUGGAACGCGAAGAGCACCGCAGUUGCGGCGGUGUCCGGAUCUUCCCCUCGGACCUUGAAAAUCCGGGAGAGGGCCACGUGGAUUAGUCGCGCCGGCUCGUACCCAUAUCCGCAGCAGGUCUCCAAGGU
rnacentral:rRNA from 1 species